AGCCACACUUAUUCCUCAUUUACUCCAGUAAGCCCUUUUUGUCUCUCAUUCGCUCCGUCUCUCAAUCCCUCCGUCUCUCGCGAACCCUAAAAUCCUAAUCGCGCCGGGUAGCCCUCUCUACCUUGCUCUGUCUCUUGAUUUGGAUUGGAGGUGAUAUGAGUUGCAGCCCGCUAUCCCUUUCGCCUGUCGCCGCUCAGGUGCUCACAGCCUCGCGAAGUCGCCAGUCGCCGCUGGGUUAGCCACACCCGUGAGUGUUGAGGUGAUGAAACAAAGCUCAUGUGUUGUUCACUUAACCAACAUUACAGAUCAAUAUGUAGCUUUUGAGGUGAAGUGAAUUUCAAUUUUUAUCAAAUUAUGUGGGGAAAAUGCUAGAUGGCUAACUCCUCCGUCCCAAGCCAAUUCCGGAAUCCUUAUAUAGAAGGCUAGUAGGAUUUCCCAACUUGGGGAGUAAAGAAAUAUUGUGAACUCACCUAUUGUGUCCUACACAACUUGGUACUAAGGCAUAAUUAGUUUAGAGUAGAUAAGGCAUAGAACUGAAUGAUUAAAAAUCAUAAGGGAUACAUUGUUAUAUAAGUUUUCUAUAACAAAUAUAUGUGUCCGGGAGUGCAUAUUAUAACAUACUAUGGCUAUGUAUUAGUCUGGUGGUUUUCAUGCAACUAAUGUUCAGGUUCUCAUCACACAUUGUUUCCUGUUCUAUUUAUUUGACUGGAUAUUUUGAAGUAACUCUCUUGACUUGAAGAUGGUUGCAAUGUGUUUUAAAUUAAGAAACCUCACAAUUUGCCUUUCUCUGACUAUUACUUUGGGUUGUAGACAUUGCGAGCAAUGCCAGUUAUUGAUUUGGAACACCAACUCUGUCUUGUUGGGGCUCUGAAGGUAGGAAAAUCAUCUUUGGUUUGUAUACUUUCAACAGGGUAAACUGAGGUAUGCACUCCAUAGGUCUCUUUGUUGUAUGAACACUGUCUAGUACUCCAGUAUCCUAACUAUUAGAAAUGGUCUUUUGCUAUGACAGCAAGUGCCUUGUCCUUCAGGUAGACAUAAGAGCAACUUGGGAUUUUUGGAAAUGAACCUUGUACUUGGGAUUGCAGGUAGAUAAAGCAUGUACAAUCUUGCUUGGAAGUGCAAGUAGAUAAAGCCAAUUUCCAAUUCCCCCAAGUUGAUGAACCUUGUACUUGGGAUUUUUGGAUAAAAUGCAGAUGUAUUAAAAUUUUGUUAGCAAUCAUGUUGUUUUUGCUGAAUGUUCAAGAUCGUUUGGUCCUUGGAAGUGACAUGAUAAGGGUUUGAGCGCACCAUUGUAAUUGCAAGGCUUGAGGCAUAAUUAGUUCAAUUGUAAAAGACUUGAGGCAAAAUAACCAUUUGAUACAUUACUAUGGCUAUUUGUUAUAAUUAGUUUCUGUCUUUACUUUUUACAAAGUUGUAUGAAACAUCUCAUUUUGGCAGUGAUAAUGAAAUCUUUUAAUA